rnacentral:rRNA from 1 species
GUUCGGGUUGUCAUUCCAAUGUCACUGCCCGGUAGCUAAAUGCGGAAGAGAUAAGUGCUGAAAGCAUCUAAGCACGAAACUUGCCCCGAGAUGAGUUCUCCCUGAGACUUUAGGUCUCCUGAAGGAACGUUGAAGACGACGACGUUGAUAGGCCGGGUGUGUAAGCGCAGCGAUGCGUUGAGCUAACCGGUACUAAUGAACCGUGAGGCUUAACCUUACAACGCCGAAG